rnacentral:rRNA from 1 species
UCUGGCGGAGCCUACCAUGCAAGUCGGACGGUAGCACAGAGGAGCUUGCUCCUUGGGUGACGAGUGGCGGAGGGGUGAGUAGUGUGGGGGGAUCUGCCCGAUAGGGGGGGAUAACCUCUGGAAACGGUGGCUAAUCCCGCAACAUGUCGCAAGACCAAAGAGGGGGACCUUGGGGCCUCUCACUAUCGGAUGAACCCAUAUGGGAUUAGCUAGUGGGCGGGGUAAUGGCCCCCCUACGCCACUAUCCCUAUCUGGUCUGAGAGGAUGACCAGCCACACUGGAACUGACACACGGUCCACACUCCUACGGGAGGCAGCAGUGGGGAAUAUUGCACAGUGGGCGCAAGCCUGAUGCACCCAUGCCGCGUGUAUGAAGAAGGCCUUCGGGUUGUAAAGUACUUUCAGCGGGGAGGAAGGCGGUGAGGUUAAUAACCUCGCCUAUUGACUUUCCCCGCAAAAAAAGCACCGGCAAACUCCGUGACGCCCCCCCCCGGGGAAAA